CGGGGCGUAGCGCAGAUGGUAGCGUGCGUGGUUCGGGACCAUGAGGCCGCAGGUUCAAGUCCUGUCGCCCCGACCA
rnacentral:tRNA from 1 species